ACCACUGUAGCUUAGAGGUUAGAGCACUCGCCUUCCAAGCGAGAGGACCCGGGUUCGAUUCCCGGCAGCGCAAAACGUU